UACGUAGGGUGCAAGCGUUAUCCGGAAUUAUUGGGCGUAAAGAGCUCGUAGGCGGUUUGUCGCGUCUGCUGUGAAAACUGGAGGCUCAACCUCCAGCCUGCAGUGGGUACGGGCAAACUAGAGUGCGGUAGGGGAGAUUGGAAUUCCUGGUGUAGCGGUGGAAUGCGCAGAUAUCAGGAGGAACACCGAUGGCGAAGGCAGGUCUCUGGGCCGAUACUGACGCUGAGGAGCGAAAGCGUGGGGAGCGAACAGG
rnacentral:rRNA from 1 species